rnacentral:rRNA from 1 species
UAGGGAAUCUUCGGCAAUGGGGGGAACCCUGACCGAGCAACGCCGCGUGGGUGAAGAAGGUUUUCGGAUCGUAAAGCUCUGUUGUUAAGGAAGAACGAGUGUGAGAAUGGAAAGUUCAUACUGUGACGGUACUUAACCAGAAAGGGACGGCUAACUACGUGCCAGCAGCCGCGGUAAUACGUAGGUCCCGAGCGUUGUCCGGAUUUAUUGGGCGUAAAGCGAGCGCAGGCGGUCAAUUAAGUCUGAUGUGAAAGCCCCCGGCUCAACCGGGGAGGGUCAUUGGAAACUGGUUGACUUGAGUGCAGAAGAGGAGAGUGGAAUUCCAUGUGUAGCGGUGAAAUGCGUAGAUAUAUGGAGGAACACCAGUGGCGAAGGCGACUCUCUGGUCUGUAACUGACGCUGAGGUUCGAAAGCGUGGGUAGCAAACAGG